UACAGAGGUCUCAAGCGUUGUUCGGAUUCAUUGGGCGUAAAGGGUGCGUAGGCGGCGCGGUAAGUCGGGUGUGAAAGUCUCGGGGCUUAACUCCGAAACUGCAUUCGAUACUGCCGUGCUUGAGGACUGGGAGAGGAGACUGGAAUUUACGGUGUAGCGGUGAAAUGCGUAGAUAUCGUAAGGAAGACCAGUGGCGAAGGCGGG
rnacentral:rRNA from 1 species